rnacentral:rRNA from 1 species
AUUGAACGCUGGCGGCAGGCUUAACACAUGCAAGUCGAACGAGUGGCGGACGGGUGAGUAAUGCUUGGGAAUCUAGCUUAUGGAGGGGGAUAACUACGGGAAACUGUAGCUAAUACCGCGUACCCUGGGAUGAGCCGAAGUGGGAUGAGGGAGUUGGUGAGGUAAAGGCACACCAAGGCGACGAACUCUAUAUGGUCUGAUAGGAUGACCAGCCACACUGGGACUGAGACACGGCCCAGAUGCCUACGGGAGGCAGCAGGGGGGAAUAUUUCGCAAUGGGGGCAACCUGACGCAGCCAUGCCGCGUGAAUGAAGAAGGCCUUCGGGUUGUAAAGUUCUUUCUGUAGCGAGGCGUUAACUACAGAAGAAGCACCGGCUAACUCCGUGCCAGCAGCCGCGGUAAUAC